CCCUGGUGGCUCAGAUGGUCAAGAGUCUGCCUGAAGUGCAGGAGACCCAGGUUCAAUCCCUGGGUCAGGAA
rnacentral:tRNA from 1 species